GUGGGGAAUAUUGCGCAAUGGGCGAAAGCCUGACGCAGCCACGCCGCGUGAGCGAUGAAGGUCUUCGGAUCGUAAAGCUCUGUGGGGGGAGAAGAAGAAAGCCGGUGAAGAGCCGGCCCUGACGGUAUCCCCUUAGCAAGCACCGGCUAACUCCGUGCCAGCAGCCGCGGUAAUACGGAGGGUGCAAACGUUGCUCGGAAUCAUUGGGCGUAAAGCGCGCGUAGGCGGCUGAGCAAGUUGGAUGUGAAAGCCCUGGGCUCAACCUAGGAUGUGCAUUCAAAACUGCUCGGCUUGAGUCUCGGAGGGGGUCAGAGAAUUCCCGGUGUAGAGGUGAAAUUCGUAGAUAUCGGGAGGAACACCAGUGGCGAAGGCGCUGACCUGGACGAUGACUGACGCUGAGGCGCGAAAGCGUGGGGAGCAAACAGGAUUAGAAACCCUAGUAGUCC
rnacentral:rRNA from 1 species